rnacentral:SRP_RNA from 1 species
GCCGGGCAUGGUGGUGCACGCCUUUAAUCCCAGCACUCGGGAGGCAGAGGCAGGUGAAUCUCUAUGAGUUCAAGGCCAGCCUGGUCUACAUAGUGAGUUCCAGGACAGCUGGGGCUACAGGGACACCCUGUCUCAAGAAGACCAAUAUAUAUUGGCCUUCUUGAGACAGGGUCUCCCUAUAGCCUGAGCUGUCCUGAAACUCACUGUGUAGACCAGGCUGGCCUUGAACUGACAGAGAUCCGCCUGCCUCU